rnacentral:rRNA from 1 species
GUGGGGAAUAUUGCACAAUGGGCGCAAGCCUGAUGCAGCCAUGCCGCGUGUGUGAAGAAGGCCUUCGGGUUGUAAAGCACUUUCAGUCGUGAGGAAGGUAGUGUAGUUAAUAGCUGCAUUAUUUGACGKAAGCGACAGAAGAACGCCCGGGGAAUAMCGG